UAGGGAAUAUUGGUCAAUGGGCGAGAGCCUGAACCAGCCAUGCCGCGUGCAGGAAGACGGCCUUCUGGGUUGUAAACUGCUUUUAUACAGGAAUAAAAGGGCUCUGCGGAGCAGAUUGCAUGUACUGUAUGAAUAAGCACCGGCUAACUCCGUGCCAGCAGCCGCGGUAAUACAGAGGGGGCAAGCGUUGUCCGGACUUACUGGGCGUAAAGCGCACGCAGGUGGUAGCGCAAGUGGGGUGUGAAAGCCGCCAGCUCAACUGGCGGAGGCCAUCCCAAACUGCGUCACUUGAGGCCUGUAGAGGUAUGUGGAAUUGCCGGUGUAGUGGUGAAAUGCGUAGAGAUCGGCAGGAACACCCAGGGGGAAGCCAGCAUACUGGACAGGUCCUGACACUCAGGUGCGACAGCGUGGGGAGCGAACCGGAUUAGAUACCCCGGUAGUCC
rnacentral:rRNA from 1 species